CAGGGGAAGCGAAGGAGUUUCUGCCGCCCAGCAACAAUGGUCGCACCGUUCCAAAUUGAUGGUGCGACACUUCAUCCAUAAGGACGAUUACCAUCGACCAAUGAUCUUGACCAACCUCCCUGCAGAUGAAGAUGAUUGGGUAACACCAGAACCCUUCCAUGUCUACUAAGAAAAUUAUCGCCCCUAAUUAGGGAGAUAUCUUGUAUAACAUUUCUACUUUUAUAUCUACUAUGGCGGGACACCACCUUGAAACAAGCUAACAUGUCAAGUAAUUCUUCAUGAGUUCUGUAGACAAUUACCGCCUUGCCUUGCCGUUUAAAUAUUCGUUAUGUAACUUGUAUAUCUACUACCAAUUCAGAGUCUUGUACCUAUAUAUCUGUUAUAUCUAUGUGACUCUGAUGGGUUAGUAUUAUACCCCUUCAAGAAUUUUCUAUUAUUACACACACAUAGUUUUUAAAUUGCACCAAAGUGGUUGUGUUACUUCUCUUUUAUAUCCUACCUCACUCCCCCCUCCCACCCUUUUCCAAUAUUUCUAUCCUUACCCAUCCUUCUUCCUUACCCAUCUUACCAAAGACUCUGGUCAUAAGAAAUUUUCAAUUGAUGUUCGAGAUAAGCUCUCUAAGGCAGGUUUUGCUAUCGACUGUGCUCCUGACCAUAAGGCCAGGAGCACAGUUGUGGCAAAAUUUGUGGACUCUUCACUGAUUACUGACUAUGAACGUGACAAAGUUGCUUUGAUGACUGACAUCUCUUCACAAAACCAGGUUACAGUUGAGUAACUCUUUCACCCUGCAAAUUCCAAAGUCCUUAAAAUCAGAUGUUCUACCCCAGCAGAGGUUGAUAUGUUGUUUAAACAUGGUGUUCGUGCCAACUACUUCAUUCAUCCACCCACUUCACUGUUUCUUCCUAUGCUCUGUUCAUCAGUGUUUCAAAUGCCUUCACUUUGGACAUUUAAAGAGUGCUUGUUACAAGUAACAGCUAUGUUCCAAGUGGUGUUCUACAGGCCAGACAUGGCAGAAAUGUACUAGCCCUCCCCAUUGCUUGCACUGCUCUCAGGCGCAUUCUGCUACUUCUUUUCAAUGCCCUUCUCAUAAGGAAUAUGUUUCCUCCUUAUGCAAAGACCAACCACUUAACCUUCCAAACCCUGUCUUGACUCCAUUCCCAUAACCACAGUCAACACCUUCCACAAAUUCCCAACCUACUACUUCUGUUCCUUCUGCUUCCUCUUCAGCUUACCCUUCUUAUGCUGCUGCCGCCCACACUCAUCUCCCCAUUGCUCCUUCGCCCUCUAAGCAAUCUAAUGUUCUCGAGACUAUUGUGUUCACUGCUGUAUACUGUUCUAAAGCAUUCAAGGAAGUAAAUUACCCCACUCUUCUAAAUGAUCUUCUCAAAGCAAAUAACUUAGAUCCCAUCACUUUCCCUCCUGACUUCUCUCUUCCCACUGCAGAACUCUUUCCCACUACCAUUCUCUCCUCUCCUGUAACUCCUCUUAGGGUUAAUAUUCCAGCAGAUCCUUCUCCUCCUACUCGCCUGCCCCGCUCCUCUCUUCCCAUUCCCUCCACUAGCUCAGGCUCCAGUACUGGAUGACCUCAACCUUGUUCUGCUACUACUCGUCACUCUCGUUCCCCUAAUCCCUCUCAUAGGUCUCGUUCUCUUACCUUGCAACCCACUUUCACUGACUCUCCUAAUUUCAAUAAGAAUUUGGCUACAGUUAAUACCCUAUUAAACCAACCCUCUACCUUCUCCUCUCUCCCCACCACCUCCUCUCGCCCCACCUCCUCAUCUCGUCCUACCUACUCCUCUCGCCCCCCCUCCUCUUCUUGCCCAACCUCCUCCUCUCCUCCCUGUUCUGACCCCAAGCACCAUCGUAAAGACACACGACCUAUCAAGAACAGAUCAACUGAAGGUAUAGUUAUGAUAGGUUAUCCUGAUAAAUACAUGAAAGACAUCUAUCUCCCACCUUCAGAUAAACCCAACCACGGCCCUUAAGAUUAUUCAAUUUAAUAUACGAACUUACAACACAGACAAACACAUUCUUGCUGAACUCGUUGAGUCUGAACGUCCAGUCGUGUUGCUGUUAAACAGCACGUGUUUGCGUGAUGAUCAAUGUGUCAAACACUUAGGAUACAUAACCGGUCAAUCCCCUGCCGACAACUGGAAUGGCAUAGCUAUUCUUAUCCCUCCCAUUUACAAAUUCUCACAGCAUGGCUGUGAAAAUUUACACAAUACAUGGUCCCAUUAUACUCUACACGACUUAUAUUAGACCUAACCAAAACAUUAACAUUCAUGAUCUAACCAUACUUUUUAAUCACACACAUCUCCCUGUAUACCUCCUUGCCGACCUCAUUGCCAAACACACGGCCUUCCAUGACAACUACACCAACCUGCAUAGUAGGCAACUUCAUACUCUUGUAACACAAAAACAUCUCAUUCACCUUGGUCCUUACUUCCCCACUGUCUUCACACAUAAUGGCCAAGGCACUCCUGACAGAAUUUUCACAAACAGAGCCACUACUCACCUACACCAUUUCACAACACCUGGCCCACUUUCCGGCUCUGACCACCUUCCUGUCAUUCUCCAUAUUUCUUCAAACCCCAUACUCGUUCCUGUUCGCCCCUCUCCAGGUUACUCUCAGGUGGAUUAAGACGUGUUCAAACAACACCUUAACACUACAUCUCACACACAACUAUGACAAUAGGCCAGUAUCAGACAUAGACACACAAAUUCAAUGCAUCCAACAGUACAUUACCCAAGCCGCUGCAGUGGCUGUGCCAAUGACACACUACAAAGUUCGCUACUCUUUCCGCCCUUCAGAUAGAACAAAAAGACUGCUCACUUGUUAUAGACACCGUUUCCUUGCUAACCAAAACAGACUUAAUAUUAUCCUCUGGGAUCUAACUAUCUUAUGCGUACAUAUCAUUCAUAGCCUCGAUGAAGACCAUGCUAGACAUUGGCAGUCUCUCAUAAACACUACUGAUGCUAAGCGUACAAAAGAUCCCAAAACAUUCUGGACCUUCAUUCGGAGAAUCAUGGGCACCCCUUCAUCUACGUCCUUCGAGUUGCAGACACAUCUCUGACCCUACUGAGGCUGUCCACAUUUUCAAAGAUAUAUGGGAACACAUCUUCCACCCACAUCCUCCAGACCCAGCUGCCAUAGCACACACAUUAGACAUUGAGCGAUGGGUCUCUAAUCACGAAGACUUAACCAUUCCUGAUCCUAUCAUAACUCUAAACACACUCCCCUCCACUCUUAACUCUCCUUUUUCUGUAGCUGAUGCUCAUUCUCUAUCAGCCCACCUUCCCGAGAAAGCUCCUGGUGCUUCUUGUCUCUCACAUUCUGACCUCUUUAAUGCUUCUCUUGCAUUUGAAUAUUUCCCUCCAUUCUUCAAAUCUGCUACUGUAUGCCUCAUCCCUAAACCUGGUAAAGGCUUGACUGACCCCAAGAACUAUAGACCUAUUAGCCUCCUUGAAAUUUUGGGUAAGACCUUUGAACGACUUGUAAAUAUGCGACUCAGGACUCGCCUCGAGACAACUUACUUACCGAGCAACAAUUUGGUUUCCAACAGCAUCACUCUACCCAAGACGUUUUGAACAUUAUCCUGAAUUAUAUACGCAUAAACAAGGCCCAAAACUGUACCACCUCCCUUGUCACCAAAGAUGUUGAAAAAGCUUUUGACACUGUUUGGCAUGAUGGAUUAAAAUCUAAACUUUGUACCUCCUUUUAUCUCACAUUAAAUAUGAUGAAAUUGUUAUGUAACUUUUUAGACGGCCGUACCAUAUGAUACGUAUACGAUUCAGAGAUCACUAUUCUGACUAUUUCACCUUACAUGCAGGUGUUCCCCAAGGCUCUGUCCUAUCUCCCACACUAUAUAUUCUCUACACUAACGAUUUACCAGAACCACUUUACCCUACCACACUUACACUCUCCUACGCAGACGACAUUACUCAGCUCGCAGCACAUGGAAACAUUAGAUUCCCUGCACGCAGAACACAACGAGAGGUCGACAGGAUUGCUGCUUGGGAAUUAUUAUGGCGAAUUAAGACCAACCCUAAUAAGUCAAAGAUCACCUAUUUUCAUAGAAGGUGCGGGGUCCCGGCUCCUGUUGAACUCAAAACAAGCACCUCCCGCACUUUUAUCUCACGCUCCCCAUCCACAGUUACCCUUGGGGUUACCCUUGACACUAGCCUGACUCUCAAAACUCACAUUACUGCCAAGACUGGAAUGGCUGGGAUUGCGCUCUCGAGGCUAAAUAAGCUGCGAGUGAAACUGCUGCACUUAUUUGUUUCCUUUGAUUAGCAGUUGGGUCUAGUCCUGACACUUUUCCUCCUUUCUUCGAUAUUUCCUCUCCCCUACCUAUUCUUCAUCCUGUUCCCACUUGCACCUCGCCCAGAACUCUCAGGUAAGGACCCAGUGAAUCCUUACCUGUGAGUCCUCUGUUCAGUUCUGUUCUGAAAAAGAAGUGAGAGCAGAUAAAUUACAAUGUGUCUUAGGUCAUUUAUGAUAAGAGGAAUCAAAAUUCUCUUUCUGUUAAAUUGCUGAUAAACUUCUUUAGCAUAAGUAAAGUCACUUCUUGAAAAUUAAAAAAAAAAACUGUGGUCUGUUUUGUUAUGCAAUAAUUUUACAAACAUAAACGGCUGCUGUUUUCAACAUCUUGUUUAUCUGGUUCUUGAAAUGGGGAUUUAAAAAGUCAGAUAAAGCAAUAAAGUAUUUAAGAGAAACACCCAUUCCAAUGUCUCUGGUAAAAAGAAAAGUAUUUUUUCCAAAUUUAUUUAAUUCUGAUGUGAUUUGUUCAGAGGAAGAUUGUAACCCUUGACCAUGAGUGCUUACUGACUGUGGGUAUAAGUUUGUUCAGAGGAAGAUUGUAAUCCUUGACCAUGAGUGCUUACUGACUGUGGGUAUAAGUUUGUUCAGAGGAAGAUUGUAACCCUUGACCAUGAGUGCUUACUGACUGUGGGUAUAAGUUUGUUCAGAGGAAGAUUGUAACCCUUGACCAUGAGUGCUUACUGACUGUGGGUAUAAGUGACCAACAGCCUUUUAGAAUUAUGCUUCUCUUUUCCUUACUCUGUUACCUCAAGGGGAAACACAGUGCUCUUGUGGAUGUAUGUAGGUAUACACAAACUCUUGUGGAUGUAUGUAGGUAUACACAAGCUCUUGUGGAUGUAUGUAGGUAUACACAAAUUCUUGUGGAUGUAUGUAGGUAUACACAAGCUCUUGUGGAUGUAUGUAGGUAUACACAAGCUCUUGUGAAUAUAUGUGGGUAUAUACAAGUUGUUUAAAGAUUUAAGAAAAUAUCUUUGUUGAAUCAUUACUUGUAAAAAUAUUGUCACCCGUAUAUAACUAGAAGUCUUGUUGGGUGUUCAUAAUGUUUCAGUUAUAAAUGAAAAGCAACUGUCGGUAAAAUUAGUAUAUAAUAUAUAGCUGUGUGCUAUAUAUUAUAUACCUAUAUGCUUUGUUAUUUUUAUAAGUGUUGUAUUGCAGUUGCUUGGCUCUAGAUCUAGUGGUUUUAUAGCGUUUCAUGUACUCCAUUUACACUAGUGUGUCUGUUAGCCUGUGCUUAUUAUGAUAUAUACAGUUCUAUUAGUUAGGAUGUUAGCAACUUGCUGUGAAAAAUUCAGAUACUAGAGCCCUUGGUUUAUUGGAUUUAAAGCCGUCAACUACAUAGUUCUUUUAUGGGUGUGUAUUACAUGUUAUGAAUCAUUUAAGAAUAUUGUAACCUCCAAACAGAGUUAAAGUGCAUUACCUAAUAUGUACUUCAUGGUGUAUGUAACUUUGUUCUGAAAGCCUCAUUCAAAUUAAACUAAAUAUUCUGUCAAACUUAAAUCUGUUUGCUUGUAGUUGAUAUAUUAUGUCUCAGUUACUAAAAAUAUAAUUUGAUAAGUAAUAAAAUCAUCACAAAGCAUAAUCAUGUUUUAUAAUUUUACAAUUUAUUGUAAUGAAUAAUAAAAAUUGUUGUGUAAUGAUUUUAUUUUCCGGAACAAUAAAUCACACUCGCAAAA